rnacentral:tRNA from 1 species
ACAUCUGUAGCUCAGUUGGUUAGAGCGCCGCAUCGGAAUUGCCGGGCCGUAAGUUCAAUUCCUACCAGAGGAC